AUUGAACGCUGGCGGCAUGCUUUACACAUGCAAGUCGAACGAGUGGCGAACGGGUGAGUAAUAUAUCGUAACGUACCGAGUAAUGGGGGAUAACCAAUCGAAAGAUUUGCUAAUACCGCAUAUUAUUCGAGCGGCCGAUAACUGUUUAGCUAGGUGGUGGGGUAAAGGCCUACCAAGGCGACGAUCAGUAGCGGGUCUGAGAGGAAGAUCCGCCCCACUGGGAUUGAGACACGGCCCAGACUCCUACGGGAGGCAGCAGUGGGGAAUUUUGGACAAUGGGGGCAACCCUGAUCCAGCCAUGCCUCGUGUAUGAAGAAGGCCUUCGGGUUGUAAAGUACUUUUGUUAGGGAAGCGGUACCUAAAGAAUAAGCACCGGCUAACUACGUGCCAGCCGCCGCGGUAAUUC
rnacentral:rRNA from 1 species